rnacentral:rRNA from 1 species
UAGGGAAUCUUUGGCAAUGGACGAAAGUCUGACCGAGCAACGCCGCGUGAGUGAAGAAGGUUUUCGGAUCGUAAAAACUCUGUUGGUAGAGAAGAACGUUGGUGAGAGUGGAAAGCUCAUCAAGUGACGGUAACUACCCAGAAAGGGACGGCUAACUACGUGCCAG